GACGAACGCUGGCGGCGUGCUUAACACAUGCAAGUCGAACGGAAAGGCCUCUUUCGGGGGGUACUCGAGUGGCGAACGGGUGAGUAACACGUGAGUAACCUGCCCUUGACUUUGGGAUAACUUCAGGAAACUGGGGCUAAUACAGGAUAGGAGCUCCUGCUGCAUGGUGGGGGUUGGAAAGUUUCUGCGGUUGGGGAUGGACUCGCGGCUUAUCAGCUUGUUGGUGGGGUAGUGGCUUACCAAGGCUUUGACGGGGAGCCGGCCGGGGAGGGUGACCGGCCACAUUGGGACUGAGAGACGGCCCAGACUCCUAAGGGAGGCAGCAGUGGGGAAUAUUGCACAAUGGGUGGAAGCCUGAUGCAGCAACGCCGUGUGCGGGAUGACGGCCUUCGGGUUGGAAACCGCUUUCGCUCAUGACGAAGCUUUGUGUGACGGUAGUGGGUAAAGAAGCACCGGCUAACUACGUG
rnacentral:rRNA from 1 species